UCGCAAGCCGGCGAAGUUCGCGCGAAUGCUCAUCCUCGAUCGCGUUCAGUACAGCUUGAAAUAUGCGUAAAAGUGACACCUGAAGACACUGCUUACCUUCCUCCUCCAGUUCAUCUUCUUCUUCUGAAUCUUCUUGCACCUCACCAUCAUUAUCGUCCGCAUCAGUCGCUAGAAAAAGGAAAAAAACAAAAACCAUUACUCAACACUAUUGCAAUCGAUUACGGAGCGAAAAGCCUUUACCAGAAGACAAAUUGGCGGCGAAAAUGUCUUGAAGCGUGAUCAGAUCCUCAUCCGGGGUGGCAGUCUCGCUGCCAAAGCAGCUGCUCGUCGUCCAAACCGAUCUGUGGAGGUUCUUUUUCCUCAGCAACGAAUGGAUACUCUUCAAACAAUCUCCUCUGGAGGAUGGAGAAGAAGUAAGAAAGGGAAGAGUAAAUAAGAACGGAAGAGGCCGAAUCGAACGGCGUGGGUAGCUCCUGCUGCUUAAGUUCACCAUUUUCCAGCAACGAGGCAAUGGU